AGCCCACAUUUAGAUACUGAAAGGCCGCUCUCAGGUCUCCAUGGACCCUUCUCUUCUCCAUGACGAACAGCCCCAGCUCUCUGCCUGUCCUUGUAGGGAAGGCGUAUCACCCCUUGGAUCAUCUUUAUGGCCCUCCUUCAGACACUAUCCAACAGGUCCAUGUCUCUCCUGAGGACUCCACAUCUAGACACAGUACUCCAGAGGGUAAGAAGCCCCCAAAGACUGCUGUAGAGGAUGUAGCAACAUUCCUCCUCUCUUCCUCCUACUUGUCACACUCCUCACAUGGAAGGAAAUGGGAUCUUGCAGCUUGUCCCCGAAGCAAAGGUGUGAGAACUUGAAAAG
ensembl:lncRNA